AUAGCGUAUAUUAAAGUUGUUGUAGUUAAAAAGCUCGUAGUUGGAUUUCUGGUGGGAGCAGCCAGUCCUGCCCCUUGCGGGGUUGUGCACUUGCGCUGCAUCCGGCCAUCCUCGUGCAGAGCCUUCCUGGCAUUAGGUUGUCGGGCUGGGGAUGCACGUCCUUUACUGUGAAAAAAUUAGAGUGUUUAAAGCAGGCAUUUGCUUGAAUACAUUAUGCAUGGAAUAAUAAGAUAGGACUUUGGUUGCUAUUUUGUUGGUUUGCGCUCCAAGGUAAUGAUUAAUAGGGACAGUUGGGGGUAUUCAUAUUUAAUUGUCAGAGGUGAAAUUCUUGGAUUUAUGAAAGAUGAACUUAUGCGAAAGCAUUUACCAUGGAUGUUUUCAUUAAUCAAGAACGAAAGUUAGGGGAUCGAAGAUGAUUAGAUACCAUCGUAGUCUUAACCAUAAACUAUGCCGACUAGGGAUUGGGAGAUGUUAUUUUGAUGACUCUCUCAGCACCUUAUGAGAAAUCAAAGUCUUUGGGUUCCGGGGGGAGUAUGGUCGCAAGGCUGAA
rnacentral:rRNA from 1 species